AACGCUAGCUACAGGCUUAACACAUGCAAGUCGAGGGGCAUCAGUUUGGUUUGCUUGCAAACCAAAGCUGGCGACCGGCGCACGGGUGAGCAACACGUAUCCAACCUGCCUCAUACUCGGGGAUAGCCUUUCGAAAGAAAGAUUAAUAUCCGAUAGCAUAUAUUUCCCGCAUGGGUUUUAUAUUAAAGAAAUUCGGUAUGAGAUGGGGAUGCGUUCCAUUAGUUUGUUGGGGGGGUAACGGCCCACCAAGACUACGAUGGAUAGGGGUUCUGAGAGGAAGGUCCCCCACAUUGGAACUGAGACACGGUCCAAACUCCUACGGGAGGCAGCAGUGAGGAAUAUUGGUCAAUGGACGCGAGUCUGAACCAGCCAAGUAGCGUGAAGGAUGACUGCCCUAUGGGUUGUAAACUUCUUUUAUAUGGGAAUAAAGUUGUCCACGUGUGGAUUUUUGUAUGUACCAUAUGAAUAAGGAUCGGCUAACUCCGUGCCAGCAGCCGCGGUAAUACGGAGGAUCCGAGCGUUAUCCGGAUUUAUUGGGUUUAAAGGGAGCGUAGGCGGAUUGUUAAGUCAGUUGUGAAAGUUUGCGGCUCAACCGUAAAAUUGCAGUUGAUACUGGCAGUCUUGAGUGCAGUAGAGGUGGGCGGAAUUCGUGGUGUAGCGGUGAAAUGCUUAGAUAUCACGAAGAACUCCGAUUG
rnacentral:rRNA from 1 species